rnacentral:rRNA from 1 species
ACGGGUGAGUAACGCGUGAGCAACCUGCCCAUAAGAGGGGGACAACAGUUGGAAACGACUGCUAAUACCGCAUAAGCCCACGGCUCGGCAUCGAGCAGAGGGAAAAGGAGUGAUCCGCUUUGAGAUGGCCUCGCGUCCGAUUAGCUGGUUGGUGAGGUAACGGCCCACCAAGGCGACGAUCGGUAGCCGGACUGAGAGGUUGAACGGCCACAUUGGGACUGAGACACGGCCCAGACUCCUACGGGAGGCAGCAUG